rnacentral:lncRNA from 1 species
CCUUAUCCAAUUCACUUAAUCCUCUGGGAAAUGGUCAGAAGCUCAGAGUACUUUUCCAUCUGGAAAAGUCACGGGGGAGAAGGCCUGUGCUCCUGUAGCUGACAAGGAAUUUGGCUGGCCUCCCUCUCUUUGCUGAUAACUGCCCAGGCAUGGGGUGAGAAUCAUCUCCUGCUCAUACCCUCAGCUUUAUCCUUUCUACUUCGGGUUACUCUCACAGAUCCAGAAGGUGAUGGGAGCCAUAACAGGAGAACUCAGUAGAGGGAAGCCAAGCGAGAGAUUGGCCUCAGCUUUGGUGUUGAUUGAAAGAGAGAAGGCAAAAGACUCUGAGGCAACAGCCCUGAGAACAAUUGUCUUGGAGGAGGGAGGAAGAGACGAGGCUGAACACUGCCGUGCAGGGAAGGGAGCCAUUUUUAAAGCCCUUCUGAAAUGUUCACUUGUACACUCAAGAUCCCAAUUGUUGUGGAGCUUCAAGCAGGUGAAAACAUGAGAUGAAAGGAAAUGAAGUGGCUGCUGACAGACUGGAGAACAUGGCUUAAUCAGCAGCUCGAAUCGAUGAGUCCAAGGCUGGCAGCCCCCAGCAAAAAUCAAUGGGGGAAAAGGACUGCUGGCCCAGAUUCCUCCUGUAUUUGUAUCUGCCCCGAGACCACCCAGAACUCUUCCUAUGCCAUGUGCAUUUUGCCCCAAAUGAUAACGAAGGCUGUAACUUAGCUGUCCCCUGAAAACUUCCUGGAAAUCUAGCCUCCUACCCCGCAUCAAUAAAGAUAGGCCAACUGUUGUAGCAAGCAACCUCAAAUCCCAGAGGAUUAACACAAUAAAAGUUUAUUUCUCCCUCACACAGAGACCAAUAUGGAUAUUCCUCUCCUGGCAGUUUUCCUGGGUGGCCCUCUUCCAAACCGCGACACGGGGAUCCAGGCUUCUCCCACCUUGAGAUGCUUCCAACUUUAAUCUUGGGCUUGUAGAAGCAGACGAGAGCAUUGGGAAGGCACAUUGGGUACCUACCUUUCUUGGCCUGGAGGUGACACCUGCUAUUGUGCUUACAUUCCAUUAUCUUCUUUUUGACAUCUGGUCCUAUGUCGAUGUGAGGAGCCAAGGAAAUCUAAAGCCCUGGCUAGAUACCUUUGGGGUUCAGAUAGGUGGCCAUGCCACUUCCUCACCAAAUAAUACCCACAUCCCCCGGCAAAUAAAACUCAGAGUUAUAGAACCACCGAUUGGAAAUGUUUCUAUAAUCCUGCCUACUCUGUACCUUCUCUUUAUUGUUGCAGAACGCCAGCCAUCAUUGCGUUCAAUUGACCUAUUCCACCCUCUUUUGGCUCUUAUUGUGUAACUUUCAUUAAACUUCAUAGGACCUAUUUCCUUUGCCUUUGUACUUUUUGUUGUUCUCUGGAAUUCCUCCAGU